CCCAAGUUUGAUUUUAAACAAAGAGCAG
rnacentral:piRNA from 1 species